GCCCCGCUGUGCGGGACCCGCCCGUUUUCCCCGAGCCCUCCCGCUGCUUGUCCCGUCCGUCCGGGCCCUUUGCCCCGCGGGAGGGAGCGGCGCGAUACCCCGGCACCGGGGCGGCCGCGGGCUCGGUGUCCGCCGCUCGCUUCUCCCCGGGGCUGGCGGAGGAGGGUGUCCCGCGGGGCUUCCCCUGGGCAGGACGAGCGGGGAAUCGCUCCGCGCCCGCCGGCACCCCCGCGCAGCUCGGCCGGAGCUUCCGCGAAGCCGGCGGGGCUGGGCUGGGGCGGGGGCCUCGUGGCAAAGGAGGUGUCUCACGGGGACCUCGCAGGAACGGGAUGCUCCAACUCGGGCUGAAUAGCUUGGUUGAGAAUUUAAGGGGAAUAACUGCUUUUAUGGAUUUUUAUUUUGCUCCUGCCCAUCCAGCGCAGGGUACCGGCAGAGGAGAUGCUGGUCUGUGCCCGGUUUUCUUGAAGUUUUAGCCUGUAAAACCAGGGAUGUUUUUUAAUCACUCUCCGAGGAAAGUCCUUUAGAGUGCUCGGUCAGUGCUUGCUGGACUGUGGGGGUUCUCCCCUCGUGUUUUCAGCAGGGCGGUGUUGAGGAGCCUGCUUUAAACUUUGCUUUUGCCUUUACGUGAAACUAAUGCUAAGAAAUAACUCACCUCUUGGUUGACUCAAGAGCAGUGGUUAUACAUACAGCUGACCAAGUUCCUGUUGUGAGACAGGUACCAGUUGGCAAAAUUUUAGGGAUGAAUACUUGCAUCAGAAAAUUUUCCAUUAAUGCAGUUUUUUAUUCCCACACACAGGAGUACAGAAUGCGUCAGGUUGGACGGAACCACAGCGGGGUCACCUGGUCCGAUCUCCCUGCUCAGGCAGGGUCAUUCCAGAGCACAGGGCUGUGUCCAGACAGGUGAAGAAAACCUGAAAUGAAGGAAACUACACAGCCUCACCUGCGCAGCAAAGAAGUUCUUCCUUAUGUUCAGACAGCUGAAGGCCUGUUGUAUGAACUGGUUAUAUAAAGAGAAAUCCAAACUUGUAUUAGAAAGGAAUGAUCCUCUGAGGGGAGAAAAAAGAGAUGCUUUCUUUGUAAAGAGGACACGGAGCCUAUUUUGAGCCUUCGUUUGUCAAGACCAUAAAUGCAUGUCACUGAGAAGAGAUAAAAUAUCAUCCAGCAGUCACAACUUUGUGAGUACAAAGACUUGAGAUGCGUCUUCUCCAAAGUACUACUACUGAAAGCAAAUAAAAAAUGAAUAAGUGUCAGGGGCUCAUUUAUUGGGGGCCUCAUGUGCACAUUGAGCAUCUCUGAUAGUCAGGAGCUAUUCUAGCAAUGGCCCAGCUGAUUUUCACAUUUGAUUUCCUUCACAGUUCCAGUGCUCACGUCCAUUUUACAGGUGAAGGAACAGGAAAGGAAGAGGCCUGGAAAAUUGUAAAGGAGGGCCCUCAGCUCAACUCUCUGCCCUGACACACAGCUCUGCUCACAUCCUUCUAUGCUGUGAUGAUAAGGAGGGGAACCUCUACUCCUAUUUCAAAUUAUGCAGCCUAUAAUAGUAACAGCCCCGUGUGUGGGGAGUGAACUUGUAUGUGCAACAUGCCAAGGCCAGCAGAGAGCUCCAGGGAUGUGGUCCCUGAGCACUGUAAUUGUGCAUGAGGAGCAAGGAAAAGGCAGCUCCGUGCGAUCACUGGAGGAUUCCUGAGGUUCUGUUGAAGCCAGCAAGGUUCCAGAAGGUGAAGAUUAGCUCUUUUGGCUGAAAAUAGGUGUUAAUUGAUGUAGCAGUGUCAUGGAACUGCACCUUCAGUUUUUCCAUUUGAGAGAAAAGAUGCAUUAUUUAAAAUCUGAGAUUCCUUUUAUGAAGCAUAUUUGUAGACUGAAUACCUUCUGCUCAUUUGAACCCAGGCAGACACUCUUUACAGGAAGAAGAAGGUUGUGUUCCUGAGGAGACCAGUGGCAGAGCCUGGAUUGUGUUCUGAACUGAUCUUAAUUGGUUAUUUUCUGCAAAAGGGAGAAGCUGCAAAGCAGAAGAUCAGUGGAAACUUCUAAGACAUUUCUACAAGCACAAAUCUUCCUUGAUUGCCUGGCUUGGUUUUAAAGACAUGUAAAUUUUCAGCUUACAUGGGGAUCUCACAGAAAACCUAGUUCCUGCAGUUUAUUUUUUCUCCCAGAUUUUUCAUCCACAUCCUAUGUACAGAGCAGAUUUUUUUUAUAGCCGUCAAGAGUAUCGUGGAUAAACAGUGGCUUUGUUGUUUGUGCUCAUUCUAGUGUAGCAGCAAGAAAGCAAUUUCACCUGUGCAGGCAAAAGUGAAUUCUGCAAUCCAAAGCCUGAGGGCACAGCUUAUUACCCUGGAAGGUGGGGCUUUCUGGGGCAGCCUGAGUAAAUUGGGGUGCUGAAAGAAAUGGGGGGGAAAAAAGAGGUUGCUUCUCUUUUUUCCUCCUCCUGGCCACUGCCCCCAGUGUGCUCGGAGCCCUUCCUCAGGGACAAAAGCUGUUCUCCAGGUUCUGCAGGAGUCUGGUCCAAGGAAAGUGGGACAAUCCCUUCCAGGGACUUUCUGGUGUCUCAGGCAGGAGAUAUUGCUCCUUUACUGAGAGCCCUUCCUGGCAAGAGGAUUGUACACACGUUGUAAAUGGUGAGGAGCUGGCAAACUUGGGGCAGAGAACCAAGCUGGCAGGGACAGGUUUGCUUGAGCCAGCCACAGCAAGGCUGCUCCUAAUUCUUGAGGCAGGGAAGGGGAGAACAAUCAGUUUGUCUGUUAUAAUCUUACAGCAGUGAUUCCACACUGAGCUGGAAGCUGUUGUCACAGUGUAACAUGUUUGGGGUGAUCCUUGUGAAAACAGAAGCAUGAAUGCCAUCCUUCCAUCUAAAUGCUUCACCAAAUGCUGAAAGUUCUGAAAUCAAACUUAAGGCAGUGAUAUUACUUGUCACUCAUUUUAAACAAGGACCCAUCCCAGUUCUUUUUAACUCCUGCGUGAGCGGGACCAGCUGUGAUUCUUCCCGUGAUCAGCUCAGUGAUUUGGUUCCAGUGGCAUCUGGAGCCUGCAAUUAAGCCUUCACACCAAGCCCCUGGGCACAUGAUACACGUGUAAAACACAGGAGGAGGAAAUGAAAAGAGUGUCCUGCAAAGCCAGCUUGAAAACACGUUGAAAGGCAGCUCUGAAAGAUCUAGUGACAAACCUAAAACAAGCACCCACCCAAUCAGGAGAGAUAGCUCUGCUGGCACUAGGGAUGGCUGGUGCCUGCCAUUGAGCAUUUCCCUACAGCUCAGCACCGAGGUGAGUUGAUGUGAGGCCCAGCUAAGCUCCCCACAAAGCUUGGAAAAGAUUCUGAGGUAUAGUUAUUUUUUUUUUAAUAUGUUUUCACUUCAUUGUGGUUGGUGUUUUUGCGCUUGUAUUUGAUUCUCUGAAGGAUUAAGCACCUAAAUGCUUGCUGUCUUUGUGGGUUGUUUGUUCUAUUUGAAGUUUAUUUUGUUUGUUUGGGUUUGGUUUCCAUUUGUACCAAGUGAAAAUUA